rnacentral:rRNA from 1 species
ACACAUGCAAGUCGAACGAAGCACUUUAACCUGAUUCUUCGGAUGAAGGUUUUUGUGACUGAGUGGCGGACGGGUGAGUAACGCGUGGGUAACCUGCCUCAUACAGGGGGAUAACAGUUAGAAAUGACUGCUAAUACCGCAUAAGACCACAGAGCCGCAUGGCUCGGUGGGAAAAACUCCGGUGGUAUGAGAUGGACCCGCGUCUGAUUAGGUAGUUGGUGGGAUAACGGCCUACCAAGCCAACGAUCAGUAGCCGACCUGAGAGGGUGACCGGCCACAUUGGGACUGAGACACGGCCCAAACUCCUACGGGAGGCAGCAGUGGGGAAUAUUGCACAAUGGGGGAAACCCUGAUGCAGCGACGCCGCGUGAGCGAAGAAGUAUUUCGGUAUGUAAAGCUCUAUCAGCAGGGAAGAAAAUGACGGUACCUGACUAAGAAGCACCGGCUAAAUACGUGCCAGCAGCCGCGGUAAUACGUAUGGUGCAAGCGUUAUCCGGAUUUACUGGGUGUAAAGGGAGCGUAGACGGCUGUGUAAGUCUGAAGUGAAAGCCCGGGGCUCAACCCCGGGACUGCUUUGGAAACUAUGCAGCUAGAGUGUCGGAGAGGUAAGUGGAAUUCCCAGUGUAGCGGUGAAAUGCGUAGAUAUUGGGAGGAACACCAGUGGCGAAGGCGGCUUACUGGACGAUGACUGACGUUGAGGCUCGAAAGCGUGGGGAGCAAACAGGAUUAGAUACCCUGGUAGUCCACGCCGUAAACGAUGACUACUA